rnacentral:sRNA from 2 species
GUUGCACACAUCCGGGGGGGGAUGAGAAGCCCCGAGCGGGGUUCGACAACUGGCGAUAGCCAGUUGGACAGCCCGCGAACGCAGUGAACGGGCUGCCCGCAGGGCGAGCGAAGCGAGUCAAUCCCCCCCUCACCGCCA